CAGCAGCCGCGGUAAUACGUAGGGUGCGAGCGUUAAUCGGAAUUACUGGGCGUAAAGCGUGCGCAGGCGGUUUUGUAAGACAGGCGUGAAAUCCCCGGGCUCAACCUGGGAAUGGCGCUUGUGACUGCAAAGCUAGAGUGCGGCAGAGGGGGAUGGAAUUCCGCGUGUAGCAGUGAAAUGCGUAGAUAUACGGAGGAACACCGAUGGCGAAGGCAAUCCCCUGGGCCUGCACUGACGCUCAUGCACGAAAGCGUAGGGAGCGAACAGGAUUAGAUACCCGCGUAGUCCCUGUCUCUUAUAA
rnacentral:rRNA from 1 species